AACGAACGCUGGCGGCAGGCUUAACACAUGCAAGUCGAACGCCCCGCAAGGGGAGUGGCAGACGGGUGAGUAACGCGUGGGAAUCUCCCCAGAGGUACGGAACAACUCAGGGAAACUUGAGCUAAUACCGUAUGUGCCCGAGAGGGCAAAGAUUUAUCGCCUUUGGAUGAGCCCGCGUUGGAUUAGCUAGUUGGUGGGGUAACGGCCUACCAAGGCUACGAUCCAUAGCUGAUCUGAGAGGAUGAUCAGCCACACUGGGACUGAGACACGGCCCAGACUCCUACGGGAGGCAGCAGUGGGGAAUCUUGGACAAUGGGCGAAAGCCUGAUCCAGCCAUGCCGCGUGAGUGAAGAAGGCCUUAGGGUUGUAAAGCUCUUUUACCCGGGAAGAUAAUGACGGUACCGGGAGAAUAAGCCCCGGCAAACUUCGUGCCAGCAGCCGCCGUAAGAC
rnacentral:rRNA from 1 species